AGUUUUCUUAGAAGAUCGCGAGCUUCGCGGACUGGCAAGGUUGUUUUUAGCAUGGAUGACUUCAUUAUGGCAACUCUCUGCAUUUGAAGACAUGUCACUACCCAGCCUGCAACAGGAGCAAAAUUAAUCCAACCAAUCAGUAAACUACUUCGAACACCUAUGUUGAUUGUUGUAGACUAAGUGUUAUCCCACACAUUGAAGAUACAGCCAAUCAAAAUGCAUGAAGACCGAUGUGCAUGUGAUGGUUUUUCAAUGCUGUGAUAGAAAAUAGUUAUUCAAUGCUUCCUCGUGAUACACCAUGGAAUAUCCCACUUCUCAAUUAUAUAUCUUUAGCAAACAGCACGAUCCCCUAAAGGCUUGUGCAAGAAGCCAUGGUAUGCCACUCAAAAUAUUAUUAUUAAAUAUUAUUAUUAUUCUA